CUGAUUCUGACUGGGUCCUGGGUCCUGGUCAAGAUGGAGCAGUUCUUCAGGGUGUAGGAUUUUGCUCGUGUUGGCUCCAACUCUCUGACAACACAGACAUGCGCCAAGAGGAAUGGAGAGAAUAGCUGGAGCUCAGCGUCCCAGGAGCCUCUUGAAAGCUGAUCUAGAAUGCUGCAGGGCCUGCCGGGUGAGGAGAGAGCACAGGGAGGCUCUUGGCAUUAGCUUCUUUGGGUCCUCAAAGGUGAAAGGUUGAACGAUGUCACCAGUGAGGCAGUGCAGAUUCCAUUUCACAAAGACCUUGGAAAGCAGAGCCCUCCCCGCCCCUGUGCUUGGAUGGCUGGUUUGCAUCUGUCAGAGUGUACGGUCUUAAUGUAUUUCUGUUAAGAAACUGCUUUUCACCUCAACCAAAAUUAUAUCUCAGAACUGACACCACUAAACUCCAGAUGUCUCAACUUUCACUGCUGAUGUUGACCACUCUAAUGUCCCCACUGGCCCUUUUGUCUCUGCUGCCUGAGAAAGUGGAUCUUCUUGUCAGAGUUGUGCCACCAAGCCCUGGAAUGAUUCUCUACCAGCCCUUCUUCUUUGAGUCACAGUGCCGAGGGGGUGAGUCUGAUUAGCUAGGUUUGACCAUGUGACUGCACCUUAGCUGCAAGGUAGCCUGGCAUGAUGAAUGUGCCACUUUUCCAGUUUCCAUACCAGGAGCCUG
ensembl:lincRNA